rnacentral:tRNA from 1 species
GCCCCUUUAGUUAAGUGGUAGAACAGCUGUUUCGUAAACAGCAAACGCCAGUUCGAUUCUGGCAGGGGGCU